rnacentral:rRNA from 1 species
AACGAACGCUGGCGGCAGGCUUAACACAUGCAAGUCGAGCGCCCAGCAAUGGGAGCGGCGCACGGGUGAGUAACACGUGGGAACGUGCCCUAUGGUUCGGUAUAACGCAGGGAAACUUGCGCUAAUACCGGAUAAGCCCUUACGGGGAAAGAUUUAUCGCCAUUGGAGCGGCCCGCGUUGGAUUAGCUAGUUGGUGGGGUAAAAGCCUACCAAGGCAACGAUCCAUAGCUGGUUUGAGAGAACGACCAGCCACACUGGGACUGAGACACGGCCCAGACUCCUACGGGAGGCAGCAGUGGGGAAUCUUGGACAAUGGGGGAAACCCUGAUCCAGCCAUGCCGCGUGAGUGAUGAAGGCCCUAGGGUUGUAAAACUCUUUCGGCGGGGACGAUAAUGACGGUACCCGCAGAAGAAGCUCCGGCUAACUUCGUGCCAGCAGCCGCGGUAACAC